GUACUGAGACACGGACCAGACUCCUACGGGAGGCAGCAGUGAGGAAUAUUGGACAAUGGGAGCAAUCCUGAUCCAGCCAUGCCGCGUGCAGGAAGACUGCCCUAUGGGUUGUAAACUGCUUUUAUACAGGAAGAAAAAGGUGUACGUGUACACUGUUGACGGUACUGUAAGAAUAAGGAUCGGCUAACUCCGUGCCAGCAGCCGCGGUAAUACGGAGGAUCCAAGCGUUAUCCGGAAUCAUUGGGUUUAAAGGGUCCGUAGGCGGGAUGAUAAGUCAGUGGUGAAAGUCUGCAGCUUAACUGUAGAAUUGCCAUUGAUACUGUUGUUCUUGAGUUAUUGUGAAGUGGUUAGAAUGAGUAGUGUAGCGGUGAAAUGCAUAGAUAUUACUCAGAAUACCGAUUGCGAAGGCAGAUCACUAACAAUGAACUGACGCUGAGGGACGAAAGCGUAGGUAGCGAACAGGAUUAGAUACCCUGGUAGUCUACGCCGUAAACGAUGGUUACUAGCUGUUCGGGUUAAUUGAGACCUGAGUGGCUAAGCGAAAGUGAUAAGUAACCCACCUGGGGAGUACGUUCGCAAGAAUGAAACUCAAAGGAAUUGACGG
rnacentral:rRNA from 1 species